UACGAAGGGGGCGAGCGUUGUUCGGAUUUACUGGGCGUAAAGGGCGCGUAGGCGGCGCGAGAAGUCGAGUGUGAAAGCCCCGGGCUCAACCUGGGAAUUGCGCUCGAUACUCUUGUGCUUGAGUUCGGGAGAGGAGCGUGGAAUUCCCAGUGUAGAGGUGAAAUUCGUAGAUAUUGGGAAGAACACCAAUGGCGAAGGCAGCUCUCUGGGACGGUACUGACGCUGAGACGCGAAAGCGUGGGGAGCGAACAGG
rnacentral:rRNA from 1 species